AAAGUCUGUGUUUUCAUAAGUUAACUGGAGCAGGAGUGAUUGGAUUAUAAUUAGUUAAAGAUUAUAAUUAGUCUAUGCAACGAAAUGGGAUAACAGCUGGUGACGGCAUGCAUGGGCUCUUUCAUCACUCUUCUCCCUUGAAGAAGACCGGGCGGUUAUUGAAUGGGCACAGGCGAAUCUUAGCCACCCUUACCACAGAUGAACACUUUGAGCACCAUGGAGUGGAUUGUUGGUAAUCUGUCCGAGUCUCACCCAAACCUGAGCAAAGUCGCUACAGUGGGACUGCUUCUACCAACCUCCACAGCUGAUUGUGAGAGAGGUUUCAGCAGUUGAAUGUGUAAAGACCACCCUACAUUCACCGGUGAGCAUGAAAGUGCUUAAUACCUUACUCAUGGUGUCCAUGCAGGGACAAAAACUGAAUGACUUUAAUUUCAGUGGUGCAGUAAAGGAAUGGCACAG
rnacentral:lncRNA from 1 species